UACGGGGGGGGCAAGCGUUGUUCGGAAUUACUGGGCGUAAAGGGCUCGUAGGUGGCCAACUAAGUCAGACGUGAAAUCCCUCAGCUUAACUGGGGAACUGCGUCUGAUACUGGAUGGCUUGAGUUUGGGAGAGGGAUGCGGAAUUCCAGGUGUAGCGGUGAAAUGCGCAGAUAUCUGGAGGAACACCGGUGGCGAAGGCGGCAUCCUGGACCAACACUGACACUGAGGAGCGAAAGCCAGGGGAGCAAACGGG
rnacentral:rRNA from 1 species